GACGAACGCUGGCGGCGUGCUUAACACAUGCAAGUCGAACGCUGAAGCUCAGCUUGCUGGGUGGAUGAGUGGCGAACGGGUGAGUAACACGUGAGUAACCUGCCCCCUUCUUUGGGAUAACGCCCGGAAACGGGUGCUAAUACUGGAUAUUCACUGAUCUUCGCAUGGGGGUUGGUGGAAAGGUUUUUUCUGGUGGGGGAUGGGCUCGCGGCCUAUCAGCUUGUUGGUGGGGUGAUGGCCUACCAAGGCUUUGACGGGUAGCCGGCCUGAGAGGGUGACCGGUCACAUUGGGACUGAGAUACGGCCCAGACUCCUACGGGAGGCAGCAGUGGGGAAUAUUGCACAAUGGGCGAAAGCCUGAUGCAGCGACGCCGCGUGAGGGAUGGAGGCCUUCGGGUUGUAAACCUCUUUCGCUCAUGGUCAAGCCGCAACAGUGGUUGUGGUGAGGGUAGUGUGUAAAGAAGCGCCGGCUAACUACGUG
rnacentral:rRNA from 1 species